GUGGGGAAUCUUGCGCAAUGGGCGAAAGCCUGACGCAGCCAUGCCGCGUGAAUGAUGAAGGUCUUAGGAUUGUAAAAUUCUUUCACCGGGGACGAUAAUGACGGUACCCGGAGAAGAAGCCCCGGCUAACUUCGUGCCAGCAGCCGCGGUAAUACGAAGGGGGCUAGCGUUGCUCGGAAUUACUGGGCGUAAAGGGCGCGUAGGCGGACAGUUUAGUCAGAGGUGAAAGCCCAGGGCUCAACCUUGGAAUUGCCUUUGAUACUGGCUGUCUUGCGUACGGGAGAGGUGAGUGGAACUCCGAGUGUAGAGGUGAAAUUCGUAGAUAUUCGGAAGAACACCAGUGGCGAAGGCGACUCACUGGCCCGUUACUGACGCUGAGGCGCGAAAGCGUGGGGAGCAAACAGGAUUAGAUACCCUUGUAGUCC
rnacentral:rRNA from 1 species